GACGAACGCUGGCGGCGUGCCUAAUACAUGCAAGUCGAGCGAAGUUUUUCUGGUGCUUGCACCGGAAAAACUUAGCGGCGAACGGGUGAGUAACACGUAAAGAACCUGCCUCAUAGACUGGGACAACUAUUGGAAACGAUAGCUAAUACCGGAUAAUAGCAUUAACUGCAUGGUUGAUGUUUAAAAGUUGGUUUUGCUAACACUAUGAGAUGGCUUUGCGGUGCAUUAGCUAGUUGGUGGGGUAAAGGCCUACCAAGGCGACGAUGCAUAGCCGACCUGAGAGGGUGAUCGGCCACACUGGGACUGAGACACGGCCCAGACUCCUACGGGAGGCAGCAGUAGGGAAUCUUCCGCAAUGGGCGAAAGCCUGACGGAGUAACGCCGCGUGAGUGAAGAAGGAUUUCGGUUCGUAAAGCUCUGUUGUUAGGGAAGAAUGAUUGUGUAGUAACUAUACACAGUAGAGACGGUACCUAACCAGAAAGCCACGGCUAACUACGUG
rnacentral:rRNA from 1 species